CAACCGCGGUGGUGGUUCCGUCAUGGCUGCGCCUAAAAUUCUGUCAGAUGCAUUUCUCAAUUGAGGGAGAGGUUUGCCAGAGGAGAAGAUCCUACACAGCUGCAUAAAUAGCCAUUGGAAGAAGUCAUACCAGAGAUGGAGCCACAUGGGAAGUCCUAAAAGACCGAGCCUUCAUCGACGGAGUUGGUGCAAGAAGAUAUAGAUCCAACACUGAUGGAUAGUAACGAUGCCGAUACCAUGCAAGAGGAUUUGCUGAAUGAAAUAUACCAAAACACAGCUGAUGGCAAGGAGGAGAGGCAAGCUGGAACCAGUAGCUGCACAAUAUACUUGGAAGCUGGAUGAGCCAGGGACAACAGGGACAUGUCUUUGUCUCGCCAGCUAGCUUACUGGUUCUCCUUUUUUGCUGAUAUCUAUCAGUUGCCAAUGGACAAGGAGGACGCAAUCUGGACCAGUAGCUGCACUAGUUGGAAUCUGGAGGACCCAAGGACAACUGAGACAGACUCCAUGCCUUUGCUUGCUGCUUCUAGUUGGCUCCUGAUGAUCUGCAGUUGCGCAAUGGUAA